AUUGAACGCUGGCGGCAGGCCUAACACAUGCAAGUCGAGCGGAUGAAGGGAGCUUGCUCCUGUAUUCAGCGGCGGACGGGUGAGUAAUGCCUAGGAAUCUGCCUUGUAGUUGGGGAUAACGUCCGGAAACGGGCGCUAAUACCGCAUACGUCCUGAGGGUGAAAGUGGGGGAUCUUCGGACCUCACGCUAUCAGAUGAGCCUAGGUCGGAUUAGCUAGUUGGUGAGGUAAAGGCCUACCAAGGCGACGAUCCGUAACUGACCUGAGAGGAUGAUCAGCCACACUGGAACUGAGACACGGUCCAGACUCCUACGGGAGGCAGCAGUGGGGAAUCUUGCGCAAUGGGCGAAAGCCUGACGGAGCAACGCCGCGUGAGUGAUGAAGGCCUUCGGAUCGUAAAACUCUGUUAGUAGGGAAGAACAGAAGUGUAAGUAACUGUGCACGUCUUGACGUUACCUAAAGAGAAAGCAACGGCUAACUACGUG
rnacentral:rRNA from 1 species